UAUAUCAACUCUUUUAUGCUUUAGUUUCUC
rnacentral:piRNA from 1 species